UACGUAGGGUGCAAGCGUUUGUCCGGAAUUAUUGGGCGUAAAGAGCUCGUAGGCGGUUAGUCGCGUCUGCUGUGAAAACUCGGGGCUUAACCCUGGGCCUGCAGUGGGUACGGGCUGACUAGAGUGCGGUAGGGGAGACUGGAAUUCCUGGUGUAGCGGUGAAAUGCGCAGAUAUCAGGAGGAACACCGGUGGCGAAGGCGGGUCUCUGGGCCGUAACUGACGCUGAGGAGCGAAAGCGUGGGGAGCAAACAGG
rnacentral:rRNA from 1 species